rnacentral:tRNA from 1 species
GUAGGCAUAGUUCAGUGGUAGAGAAUAUGCGUAGCAUGUAUGAGUUCCUGGGUUCAAUCCCCAGUCCCUCCA